GGGGGUAUAGCUCAGUAGUACAGCAUUCGACUGCAGAUCGAGAGGUCCCCUGUUCAAACCCGGGUGCUCCCU
rnacentral:tRNA from 1 species